AUUGAACGCUGGCGGCAGGCCUAACACAUGCAAGUCGAGCGGAUGAAGGGAGCUUGCUCCUGGAUUCAGCGGCGGACGGGUGAGUAAUGCCUAGGAAUCUGCCUGGUAGUGGGGGAUAACGUCCGGAAACGGGCGCUAAUACCGCAUACGUCCUGAGGGAGAAAGUGGGGGAUCUUCGGACCUCACGCUAUCAGAUGAGCCUAGGUCGGAUUAGCUAGUUGGUGGGGUAAAGGCCUACCCAGGCGACGAUCCGUAACUGGUCUGAGAGGAUGAUCAGUCACACUGGAACUGAGACACGGUCCAGACUCCUACGGGAGGCAGCAGUGGGGAAUAUUGGACAAAGGGCGAAAGCCUGAUCCAGCCAUGCCGCGUGUGUGAAGAAGGUCUUCGGAUUGUAAAGCACUUUAAGUUGGGAGGAAGGGCAGUAAGUUAAUACCUUGCUGUUUUGACGUUACCAACAGAAUAAGCACCGGCUAACUUCGUG
rnacentral:rRNA from 1 species